rnacentral:rRNA from 1 species
UACGAAGGGGGCUAGCGUUGUCCGGAAUCAUUGGGCGUAAAGAGCGUGUAGGCGGCUCGGUAAGUCCGCUGUGAAAGUCCAGGGCUCAACCCUGGAAUGCCGGUGGAAACUGUCGAGCUCGAGUCCGGAAGAGGCGAGUGGAAUUCCUGGUGUAGCGGUGAAAUGCGCAGAUAUCAGGAGGAACGCCAAUGGCGAAGGCAGCUCGCUGGGACGGUACUGACGCUGAGACGCGAAAGCGUGGGGAGCAAACAGG